rnacentral:rRNA from 1 species
AAACUGAAGAGUUUGAUCCUGGCUCAGAUUGAACGCUGGCGGCAUGCCUAACACAUGCAAGUCGAACGGAAACGAUGGAAGCUUGCUUCCAGGCGUCGAGUGGCGGA